AUGGAUGACUAGUUACGAAGGGACCAUUUUGUUUUUGUAGGAUGGUCCGGCCUAUUGCUCUUUCCUUGUGCUUAUUUCAUUUUAGGGGGUUGGUUUAGAGGGACAACUUUUGUAAAUACCGAGUAUACUCAUGGAUUGGCUAGUUCUUAUUUGGAAGGUUGUAUUUCUUAA
rnacentral:rRNA from 1 species